rnacentral:rRNA from 1 species
UAUGUGAUCGUCUCUCGCAUAUCAAUAAGCGGAGGAAAAGAAACUGACAAGGAUUCCCUUAGUAACGGCGAGUGAAGCGGGAAGAGCUCAAAUUUGAAAUCUUCAAGGUUUUACCUUGACGAAUUGUAGUUUAAAGAAGUGUUUUCUGUUGAAGUUUUGGUAAAAGUUCUUUGGAAUAGGACAUCAUAGAGGGUGAGAAUCCCGUAUUUGACCAUUAUUUUCAGCUGUGUGAUACACUUUCAAAGAGUCGGAUUGUUUGGGAAUGCAGUCCAAAAUGGGUGGUAAAUUUCAUCUAAAGCUAAAUAUUGGCGAGAGACCGAUAGCGAACAAGUACCGUGAGGGAAAGAUGAAAAGAACUUUGAAAAGAGAGUUAAACAGUACGUGAAAUUGUCAAAAGGGAAGCGUUUGACACCAGUGUUGUUUUCUCGAAAAUCAAUUAAAAAGAGUUAGAUUUUGUUGUGUAUUGACCUUAACAGCUUGCAUUUCAAUUUUCUUGCUUUUUUUAAUGCACUUUUCGUUUAACAAGUCAACAUCAGUUUCUUUUGUUGUAAAAAGGUCAUUGGAAGGUGGCUUUCUUUUCGGAGAAAGUGUUUAUAGCCUUUGACUCCUGCAAUCGGAGAGACUGAGGUCUGCAGCGUAGAUCCUUCGGGGUUGGAUACAUUUGUGCUAAGUUAUAGCUUUUUAUAGACAACUUGUUGACUAUGAUUAGUCUUGUAGCUUACUCGCUUAUGCUAUUUUACCUACGCUUAGGAUGUUGAAGAUGUAGCACAUCAU